rnacentral:sRNA from 1 species
GGCAUGGGGCUCCCUGGGCUGUUCUGCUUGGCCGUGCUGGCCGCCAGCAGCUUCUCCAAGGCGCAGGAGGAAGAGACAGACUUUCACUAUGUUGGCUACACUGGUUUUGAACUCCUGACCUCAAGUGAUCCGUCCGCCUGGACCUCCCAAACGCUGGAAUUACAGGUGUUUGCCACCGAGCCUGGCCAAACCAGUACCUUCUUAAGGUGCUUGAUCAAUGUUAUUUUCUUUCUUCCUCCUUGGACCUUUUCAUCUCCCAGAAAUCACCCCUGUGGUCUCCAUUGCCUACAAAGUCCUGGAAGUUUUCCCCAAAGGCCGCCGGGUGCUCAUAACCUGCCACGCACCCCAGGUACCACCGCCCAUCACCUAUUCCCUCUGU